CGGCAGGGGCGCCGGACUCCUGAAGACUUGGCUGCUGGACAAAGUCUAGGACAGGACAGGGUGCAGGUAGUGUUCGCGCGCGACUUUUCUCACCUUUUCCACCUUCUGAGUGGCUCCGGGAGGUGUGAGUAUCGGAACACAGGAGAUGAACGAAGCAGACGUCCAGGUUGUUUCACUUGCGAUGAUCAAAAUGGAGAGGAAGAUGGUGUUCUGCACAGAGAAGGAUGCAAACUCAAACUCCUGCCACAUCCUCUUUAAAAAGGAUGCCUAGACUGCCUAGCAGUAUUUAUAUAUUAAGAUAUACAAGAUGGAAGAGAGAAUUCAGUACAGCAUUAACAGUGGAGGAAACUUAACAGCACUUCAAGUCAGGCAAGUGAUCAAGGUCAAGAAUGCCUAUGAAGUCAUGGUGAUAACCUGUGUCCCUUAUUGCAUGAUGACAAUGAUCCCUCGCCUUUACAACCUUCUACCUGAAAAUCCACAGCCCUGACUGAUGAGCGAGUGCUUUGUAAUUUACCUGUGUGAUGAUCCUUAGAACAGUUAAAGACACCAAAGCAGGGGACAUCUCAGAAAUGGUCACCAGCAUGGAGAGUCUGAGGAGCUGAGAAGGCUGAACUGAAUGACAUUUUGCAUGGGAUCCUGGAGUGGGUAAAUGAAAUUGGGACAACAAGGGAAUCUGAAUAAACAAUAUGCUGUACUUAAUAA